AGUCUUGUGUUGGCUCCUUGUUUGCUUCUGACAUGGCCAUUGCAUGAAAAGCACCCCAGCUCCUCUUUGGUUGUACAGCGAUCAUCACAAGAGGGACUCUUGAAGGAUGGUUCGCAGAAGGGAAAAGAAAGGUGUUCCAAAGAGAGGUACCAUCGUGAACACAGAGCACAAAUACCUCCUGAUCAUCAGGGUGUGAUAAGAAUUCACUGGCCAGUCUCCUUGGAUAUUUCUUCUGAACUGUGCUAUUUGAUUCGGCACCACCAGUGGCUUUAGUAGAAGAGCUGCCAUAAGACAGUGCAUAAUUCCACCUGAUUCUGUCAGUUCAGUGUGUUUGAAAGUGGGUCAAAGCAAACUUUCUGAAGGAGACUGAAAUUUAGUUAAACUUGAGGAAUGAGCAGGAAUUGACUUGAUAGAGAAAAAAGAAUCUUCUGGAGGUGAGUGGGAGUAGAGUACAGGCAAUGGACCAGAGUGCCCUGAGUGGAUCCAUUGGCGAAGGAGAAGGAGGUUGGAGAUGCCGAAUGUGAAGAUGACCUUGACGAGAUACCCUGAGCUACAACAGCUGCAAACAAGCCUUCAGCAAAGUUUGCUUGAGCCAGGCUGUAGAUAAUCUCCAUCCUCAUCUCCAUGCGUGGAUGAUAACCCUUCCAAGUUCUAUAGCCUUUGCCGCUGGAGUUCUGGGAGCACCUGUCACUGACCCCAGUGCCUGCUUUGUGAUGCUGCUUCCUCAUUGUUAGUAGAGCCUGAUGUCCAUUUAUGCCCUCCUGUGACCAACUCAGCUCACCUCUUGUAAUUGACGGUGCUGAGUCUUCUUAGCCUGAAGGCAAGAAAAGUGUGCUGCCGACCUUUCCCCAUUUUCAGAGUCAGCCAACAGAAGGGCUUGUUCCGGGACUGACAAACAGAGGAAAAAUCCCUCCCCAUCAGAAAAUCAAAUGCACAAGAGCAAGUUUGUAAGGAAAUCAAAACUCCUUGGGGGAGUCCCGUCGUGGCUCAGCUGAAAGGAAUCUGACUAGCAUCCAUAAGGACACAGGUUCGAUCCCUGGCCUCACUCAGUGGGUUAAGGAACCGGUGUAGACACAGCUUGGAUCUGGUGUUGCUGCGGCUGUGUUGUAGGCCAGCAGCUAUAGCUCCUAUUCGACCUUUAGCCUGGGAACCUCUAUAUGCCAUGGGUGCAGCCCUAAAAAGACAAA
rnacentral:lncRNA from 1 species